CCUGAUGGCUCAGAUGGUGGAGUAUCCGCCUGCAAUGCAGGAGACCCAGGUUCAAUCCCUGGGUCAGGA
rnacentral:tRNA from 1 species